AUCAAUGAAAACAAUAAUGUAGGUUUAAAUUAAACAGUGAUUCAAAGGAAUUGAAGUUGAUAUCAAAGGAAAGGAAAUGAAAGUGGAAAUUAAGACAAGGACUAUACAAUGAUUAACAUGAUAGCUGAAGGGAAGACUAUAAUGACAAGAAAGUUGUCCACAUGGAUAAAGGCUAGAAUUUAUAUUUUCCAAGAGCAAGUCUUGGAACAAGUUCUGCUUAAUAUCUUUACUCAUGACACUGCUUAAAAAAAAAUUUAGUUCAAUGUUUGGAUUAUUAAUUCAUGGUAUGCAACACUUGAAAAAUCCAACCAGUGUCCAUAGGAACAGGUGGGUCGCACAUUAUGAACUGGAAUUACAAAUGUAGGAUAAAAUAGCAUAGUAGAAACUAAAGCAUGUAGGGAUUAAAUCCAGAAUUUUUGCUCUAAAUUGUAGGCUUAUCAACAGCAGUUGGCACUUCAAGAGAAGGAACUGGGUUUACUGGAAAUUCACAGGAGAACUAUCCUGCUUAGAAUGACAGGAAGUCAUUUUAAGAUCACAAAAAUAAUUUUCAUUUCAGGGUCUUGGAAGAGUCAUCAUUCACACAGAGAAGCAGUUAAUGUACCAGAGGGCUGUGCUGCCACCGAGAUCUUGACAGACUAGAGAAAUGUGCUGAUGGGAACAUCAUGAAGUUAGCAAGGGGAAGCCCAAAGUCCUGCAUCUGAGAAAGCGCAGCCCCAUGCAACAACACAUGCAUGGGGCCACCCAGCUGGAAAGGAACUUGUCAGAAAAGGACCUGGGAGUCCUGGCAGACACCGGGUUAAACAUAGGCCAGCAGUGCCACUGAUGCAAAAAAAGUGAAUGGCAUCCUGGGUUUCAUUAGGUGAAGCACUGCCAGCAGGUUGAGGGAGUUGUUCCUUCCCCUCUACUCAGCUCUGAUAAGACCACACCUGGAGUUCUGUGUCCAGUUCUGGAAUAGCCAGUGCACGAGAGACAUGGACAUAUUGGAAAGAGUUCAACAAAGGGCCUGAGGGGUCAUAAAGAGACUGGAGCACCUCACAUACAAGGAAAGUCCAAGAGUUCUUGGACUACUCAGCCUAGAGAAGAGAAGGCAGUGUAUAUAAACACCUAAAGAGAAGGUGCAAAGCGGGCAAAACCAGACUCUUUUCAGUCAUGCCCAGUGACAGAAGGUGAAGGAAUGGCUCCCUAAGCUCUCUGUACUUUGAAAUCCAGCUGCACAUGUCUCAUGGGUUAGGACUCUGCAUAGCUUCAGAUGUGAAAACUUGUCGCUGCUGAAAUCAAUGGCAAAAAUCCCAGGAUUUCUCUCCUGUGCUUUCACUGUAGCAUUCACUUGGAAAACACAGUGAUAUGGUAGAGCAACUCUGAGAGUUUCCUUGGGUCUGAAAGCCACAGAAAGUCAAGCUUUACCGAGGCAGAUUUAGAACUGAGACAGGGGACUGAAACAGUAGGAAUGUAAUACUACCACUGUGAUAGAACAUUGUUAUGCUACUCUGUGAAAUGAUGCUUAACAAUUACUCUAUACUGACUAAAUCUGACUCCUACCUUAUGUUCUUUCUUUCCCUCUGACUUCCUCCACUUUUGACUUCAUAUUCUUGCUCAUUUGCUGAUGGUACCACAUCAGGCAGUGUGACCUCUCAGCUCACUAAUAAGAUGAGAUUUAUCUGUCUUGCGUUCAUUACAUUAUAUGUAUUCUGGGCUUCAUUAAAUUGCCCAACAUAAAAGAUAAGGACUGUAUUCCUCUGUCAUUUAGCCUAGUGUGAUUUCCCAUACCUUGAUUUUUGCAAUGGUGAAAACUCAGGAAAUUUGAGAGAAGAACCUGAUAUAAGUUUUCUUUAUUUCUCAGCUCUGCAAAAAAUAAGUCAACAGUACUUUUUUGAAAUUAAUCUAUAUAUAUCUAUGAAUAUAAACAUUAAAAUUUUUCUGUAAUCUUAACAAACCUUGGGCAAAUAUUUAGACCUAAAAUAUAUAAUUGUAUUAAUGAAGAUGCUUUUAGAAUGUAGAUUAUCGUAGAAAAUUUUCCAACUGAAGCAUGACAGUAAAUAUUAGGACAUCAUUUUUAACAGAAAAUAUUGAUUCACUAGCGCUUUUUUUAUAAUUGCUUUUCUUUGGUUAUACUCUAUGUAGCAACAUAGUAAUUGAUGCAGUAGUUAUAAAAACAAGAUACUAGAGUAGCAGUAUGGGCGAUGUGGACAAAAUAGAACAGAGGGUAAGAGGAUAUAACAUCAAGGACCUAAAUAUCUACAUCUAUUUUAAUGAUACAGAGUUCUGACCAGAAUAUGUGUGAUAAGUGCUAUAAAAGCAAUGAAAGAACCUUGCUGGAAUACAGCAAAAGGCAAAAGAGGCAUUCUUACAUUGAAAGCUGUCCACAAUAGCUAUUGUUUAAUUCCAAUUAAUGACUCAAACACAAGUUGUUCAGGCAAAUGAGAGGCUCUUGUUCAAAGUUGCAUGUUCCUAUUUUUCUGGUAAAAGAUGUACCUAAGUUCCUAAUACAUUAGUCUAUCAUUCAGACAAGUUUCUGUUGAAGACAGAGCUAUAUUCUAUGUGGAAGUCAUUGAACUGUAGACAUGUUCCUCUCUUCUCUUUCCUACAGCAUCAGAUGAAAACUUUUUCUGGAAGAUGAACAUUUCUGGAAGGGAAAUUCUCUAGUACAACUUUCAAUAUUUUUGUAUACAUCAGUAAUAUAAG